rfam:Picea glauca, whole genome shotgun sequence.
ACAUGCCUACAAAAUAACGUUAAUGCACUAUAUCCCAUUAGAACUCCUCAGUUAAGCAUGCUUGAGCUAGAGUAGUACUGGUAUGGGUGACCGCCUAGGAAUUCCUAGUGUUUCACAUGGC